AGCUUUUGCACUGAGGGGUACUUUCUUCCUCUUGGAAACAAGCUUAUAUAGUUCGCUGCCAGCAAGUUGGUCCUUCACAUAGCUGUAAAGAAAGAAGAUUAAAUUUAGUUUACAUGAUGAGUAUAAACAUCCUUCAAAAAUCAGAAAUACAAAUUGUCAAGAGAAAAUUAGAUAUGAAUUGUAACUUACUCAUUGGAUAGAACUAGUGGAUCAUCAUAUUGGAAUCUCAUCUUCUUGUUUAUUCUCUUUCUCUUGUUGUCUUUUAGCACUCCUCUUGUUCUCUUGUUGACUUGUGGAACUCUUCUUGUUCUCUUGUCCAUAGCCUACAAGAAGAUGCACGCUAUAAGAUUGAGGACAUUUGAAAUUUAGCAACAGUAAUUUUAUUUUUCACGGCCAAUGCCUAAAAACAGAUCAUCAAAGCUGUGUGUCAUUCUUUGCAGGUUGGUUUGGCUCUGAAGAAACUAUUACAGGAUCUGCACAACUACCUCCUGGUACCAGAGGCGUCCUUUUCCCCCCAUUUUGUUAUCUUUCCAUUUCGAAGAAAUUACUGAUUCAGUUUGCUUGCUGGUACUGUCAUUGUGUAUGUUUCCUUAAUGGCAUUUUAGGUAUCUUGGGAUGAUUCCACAUGUUCAGGUUUGUCACACUGCAUGCUACACAAGUCAGUUCUGCAGGCUAGCUCAUGGUGUGGUUCGUCGAAUCUAUUGAUGAUUCUGAAGCAGUUCAAGAGGAAGAGCACAAUAGUUCAUGCCUAGAGGUAAUAUACAGGCCAGUGAGAGAUUUGAAUGGUAUACCAGGUAGUCAGUCGCUUAACAUUUGCCUGACGGAUUACCAAAAGGAUGGGCGUGAAGACAUAAUGAUUGGAGGACCUACCAAAUCGAGACAUUGCAGGGUGUUGCAGAAUCCAGGAUGCGCCCAGGGUGUUGCUUCAUCAAUUGGAACAAUGGCAAGGGACGGAUCCGGCAGGGGAGGCGACAGCGAUCGACCUUGUGUCCAUG